rnacentral:rRNA from 1 species
CCAUUUAGUACCGUAGCUAACGCGUGAAGUUGACCGCCUGGGGAGUACGGCCGCAAGGUUAAAACUCAAAGGAAUUGACGGGGACCCGCACAAGCGGUGGAUGAUGUGGAUUAAUUCGAUGCAACGCGAAAAACCUUACCUACCCUUGACAUGUCAGAAACUUGGCAGAGAUGCCUUGGUGCCCGAAAGGGAAUCUGAACACAGGUGCUGCAUGGCUGUCGUCAGCUCGUGUCGUGAGAUGUUGGGUUAAGUCCCGCAACGAGCGCAACCCUUGUCGUUAAUUGCCAUCAUUUAGUUGGGCACUUUAACGAGACUGCCGGUGACAAACCGGAGGAAGGUGGGGAUGACGUCAAGUCCUCAUGGCCCUUAUGGGUAGGGCUUCACACGUCAUACAAUGGUCGGUACAGAGGGUUGCCAAGCCGCGAGGUGGAGCCAAUCCCAGAAAGCCGAUCGUAGUCCGGAUUGCAGGCUGCAACUCGCCUGCAUGAAGUCGGAAUCGCUAGUAAUCGCGGAUCAGCAUGUCGCGGUGAAUACGUUCCCGGGUCUUGUACACACCGCCCGUCACACCAUGGGAGCGGGUUCCGCCAGAAGUAGGUAGCCUAACCGCAAGGGGGGCGCUUACCACGGCGGGGUUCGUGACUGGGGUG